rnacentral:rRNA from 1 species
GACAGAGGGUGCAAACGUUGUUCGGAAUUACUGGGCGUAAAGCGCGUGUAGGCGGUCUCGCAAGUCGGAUGUGAAAGCCCAGGGCUCAACCCUGGAAGUGCACUCGAUACUGCGAGGCUAGAGUCCCGGAGAGGAUGGUGGAACUCUCGGUGUAGAGGUGAAAUUCGUAGAUAUCGAGAAGAACACCGGUGACGAAGGCGGCCAUCUGGACGGUGACUGACGCUGAGACGCGAAAGCGUGGGGAGCAAACAGGAUUGAAGAU